rnacentral:rRNA from 1 species
GAUGAACGCUGGCGGCGUGCCUAAUACAUGCAAGUCGAGCGAACAGACGAGGAGCUUGCUCCUCUGACGUUAGCGGCGGACGGGUGAGUAACACGUGGAUAACCUACCUAUAAGACUGGGAUAACUUCGGGAAACCGGAGCUAAUACCGGAUAAUAUAUUGAACCGCAUGGUUCAAUAGUGAAACACGGUUUUGCUGUCACUUAUAGAUGGAUCCGCGCCGCAUUAGCUAGUUGGUAAGGUAACGGCUUACCAAGGCAACGAUGCGUAGCCGACCUGAGAGGGUGAUCGGCCACACUGGAACUGAGACACGGUCCAGACUCCUACGGGAGGCAGCAGUAGGGAAUCUUCCGCAAUGGGCGAAAGCUUGACGGAGCAACGCCGCGUGAGUGAUGAAGGUCUUCGGAUCGUAAAACUCUGUUAUUAGGGAAGAACAAAUGUGUAAGUAACUAUGCAUGUCUUGACGGUACCUAAUCAGAAAGCCACGGCUAACUACGUG